rnacentral:lncRNA from 1 species
GUUCUUGUUCUUCGUGUUGUUGUCGUCGUCGUCUUCGCUUUUCAUGUUGUUGUUCUUGUUGUUCUUAUUGUUCUUAUUGUUCUGGUUAUUGUUUCUGUUAUUCUUGUUGUUGUCGUUGUUGUCCCUGUUGUCGUUCUUGUGGUUGUUGUUGUUGUUGUUGUUUUUGUUGUUGUUGUCGUUGAUGCCGCUUUUGACAUUGUUGACGUUGUUAUCGUUGUUAUUGUUGUUGUCGUGGUUGUGAUUGUUCUCAUUGUUGUUCUUGUUUUCGUCAUUGUCGUCGUCGUCGUUGU